CCCAGGACAGAACUGGCUGAGACAUCUAUGUACAGAUGAGAAAACUGCAGCACAGCGGCAUAAGUAACUUGCCCAAGGCCACACUCCUAAUAAGUUGUGGAGCUGGGUUGCAAACUCAGACACUCCAGCUCAAGACCACGCACUUAAGUACGAGGCUCUGCCAAAGGGAAGGAGAAAGUAGAACCAGAAUGUCCCCAAGAGGUGGCCUGGGAAGAUG
rnacentral:lncRNA from 10 species